ensembl:snRNA U4 U4 spliceosomal RNA
AGCUUUGCGCAGUGGCAAUAUCAGAGACAAUGAAGUUUAACUGAGGUGUGAUUGUUGCUAACUGAAAAUUCUCAGUAAUACCUGGAUACUGAGUGUUCAGAAUAGCUCAUUAAAGC